CACGUAGGGCGCAAGCGUUGUCCGGAAUUAUUGGGCGUAAAGAGCUCGUAGGCGGUCUGUUGCGUCCGCUGUGAAAACUCGGGGCUUAACCCCGAGCCUGCAGUGGAUACGGGCAGACUAGAGGUAGAUAGGGGAGAAUGGAAUUCCCGGUGUAGCGGUGAAAUGCGCAGAUAUCGGGAGGAACACCGGUGGCGAAGGCGGUUCUCUGGGCCUUACCUGACGCUGAGGAGCGAAGGCGUGGGGAGCGAACAGG
rnacentral:rRNA from 1 species